rnacentral:rRNA from 1 species
AUAACGGUCCUAAGGUAGCGAAAUUCCUUGUCGGGUAAGUUCCGACCCGCACGAAAGGCGUAACGAUUUGGACACUGUCUCGGAGAGAGACUCGGCGAAAUAGACUUGUCUGUGAAGAUGCGGACUACCUGCACCUGGACAGAAAGACCCUAUGAAGCUUUACUGUAGUUUGAGAUUGAAUUCGGGCUUUAUUUGCGCAGGAUAGGUGGGAGGCUAUGAGUAUUUGCUUGUGGGCAAAUAGGAGCCGUUGGUGAGAUACCA